UGGUGGAGCGAUUUGUCUGGUUAAUUCCGAUAACGAACGAGACUCUAGCCUAUUAAAUAAGUUCACCGAUCACGUUACGUCGGCGUCAACUUCUUAGAGGGACAAGUGGCGUUUAGCCACGCGAGAUUGAGCAAUAACA
rnacentral:rRNA from 1 species